AUGAGCGAUGAGAGUCCAAUGAAAUGGGAAAGUCCUCUCAGAAAAGAGCUCCAGACAGAUGAGGACUCUGUUGUUGACCCUCCAAUGCACAGUGCUGAGGGGAACACUGAAGCUGGUAAUAAGGGUGUUUCACACAUGGUUUCGGCUGAUGCCUUUGUACUCUCAUCAGGAGAAAUGAAGGAUGUUUUUAAUAAGGAAAAGGAAAGCCCUCAUGAUUGUGAGCUCCAAAAACCUGAGGACUUUUCUGUAUGUCUUACAGAGAGUGAGAAAGCUCUUCCUGCAGUUAGUGACCAAGUAAAUGUCUUUGUUUAUAUUUAAACAAAAAAAUGAGUUCUUCUAUCACGUACCUUAUAAAAUUGCUUGAUGAGUGGUCCAUUUCAAUUUGAAGUCUCCUUAAAGUUAUUUUUUUACGUAAAAGUUUCAAGUUUACUAGGACCACAUUACAUGAGUUGAUUAGUACUUGUGUCCACAGAAGGAAAAAAUGGCUGAUUUUGCUAAAAAGCCUGAAACUUGCCGAGAGGCAUCAUGUGUGACAUCAUCUGCAUCUCAAGAGAAUACUGUGCUGUUUAGGAGAGGUAAUGAUAUUAAUGUCCCUUUAACUGACUUGUUUUAUCAUUUUAAAGGGAUAGUUCACUCAGCAAUGACAAAUUGUCGUCAUUUACUCAUCCUCAUAAUGUUCCAAAGCCUAUUUUUUUUUCAUCUUUGAAACACAAAUGAAGCUCAUAAUGUUCCAAAGCCAUUUUUUUUUUCAUCUUUGAAACACAAAUGAAGAUAUUUUUUAUAUUCUCUCAUCAUUUUUGUCCAUCCAUCGAAAGGUCAGUCAACUGAAACUUGCUUUUAGAUAUUGUAAAAGUUAUCCAUAUAAAUAAAUGUGGUUUAAUCCAAGUCUUAAGAAGAGAUGCUAUAUGAUGAACAGACUUAAUUUAGGCUUUUAUUGAUCAACACGUACAUAAAGCACAUCAGAAAUGAUAAAUGGAAGCUCGGACUUGCUUGCUUGACUCAUGAGAACAAACCUGAUAGGUUUCGUGUCAUUUAACUUUUAUAAUCUCUUUUUCCUUCUUCUCAAGGCAAAUUGCAAGUGAAGCCAAAAAUCCCCAAAACAACAUCUACUAAAGAUGAUUUCUCAAGACCUUCGCAAUCUCACUUUGGGUAUAGCGAUCCAGCCACAGCUCUAAUCAUUAAACCAGCACAUCUGAUUAAAGAAGAAUCCAUUAAAGUGGAACAGAGGUCUGAUCAAGAAGAUUUCUCUGAUAUUCCAAAAGAGGAGUUCGACGGAGAGCCUUCUGUGAUUGCUUCGUCCUCACAACUUCAACAGCUUAUACCAAAAACAACAGCAUGGUAAUACACAUCUAUCUUAAUAAAUGUCCUUAGAUCUGUGUACAGUUAUUAUAGACUUUUUUUUUUUACUUUCUGUAAUAGCACUGAAUUGCAACCAGAGGAACUGAAAAUAGAGGAUGGGCAUGAGGAUGCUGCACACGUGGUGGUGUCUGAUAUAU
rnacentral:lncRNA from 1 species